rnacentral:rRNA from 1 species
UACGGGGGGGGCAAGCGUUGUUCGGAAUUACUGGGCGUAAAGGGCGCGUAGGCGGAAUGGCAAGUCGGUCGUGAAAUCCUUCGGCUCAACCGAAGAACGUCGAUCGAAACUGCCGUUCUUGAGGAUUGCAGAGGAGACUGGAAUUCCCGGUGUAGCGGUGAAAUGUGUAGAGAUCGGGAGGAACACCGGUGGCGAAGGCGGGUCUCUGGGCAAUUCCUGACGCUGAGGCGCGAAAGCGUGGGGAGCGAACAGG